UACGUAGGGACCAAGCGUUGUUCGGGUUUACUGGGCGUAAAGGGCGCGUAGGCGGCUUAACAAGUCACUUGUGAAAUCUCCGGGCUUAACUCGGAACGGCCAAGUGAAACUGUUAUGCUAGAGUGCAGAAGGGGCAAUCGGAAUUCUUGGUGUAGCGGUGAAAUGCGUAGAUAUCAAGAGGAACACCUGAGGUGAAGACGGGUUGCUGGGCUGACACUGACGCUGAUGCGCGAAAGCCAGGGGAGCAAACGGG
rnacentral:rRNA from 1 species